rnacentral:rRNA from 1 species
AACGAACGCUGGCGGCAGGCCUAACACAUGCAAGUCGAGCGAGCAUUUCGGUGCUAGCGGCGGACGGAUGAGUAACGCGUGGGAACGUGCCCUUUUCUGCGGAAUAGUCCUGGGAAACUGGGGGUAAUACCGCAUACGCCCUUUUGGGGAAAGAUUUAUCGGAGAAGGAUCGGCCCGCGUUGGAUUAGGUAGUUGGUGGGGUAAUGGCCCACCAAGCCGACGAUCCAUAGCUGGUUUGAGAGGAUGAUCAGCCACACUGGGACUGAGACACGGCCCAGACUCCUACGGGAGGUAGCAGUGGGGAAUCUUAGACAAUGGGGGCAACCCUGAUCUAGCCAUGCCGCGUGAGUGAUGAAGGCCUUAGGGUUGUAAAGCUCUUUCAGCUGGGAAGAUAAUGACGGUACCAGCAGAAGAAGCCCCGGCUAACUCCGUG